AGUCUGGAGCCAGUGAGCGAGAGAGGGAUGUGCGGCGCGCGGGGCGACGGGGGAGGGAGGCGGUCGGGAGGGCAGGGCCGGGCCCCACGGCUGCCGCUGCGGGCGGGGAGAUCGCGGCCGCGCACUCGCUCGGUCGGAGCGGGGAACUCCCCGGAGAGCUGGUCUCUACUUGUCAUGCAAAAAAACUUGGGCAUCUCUAGGAGCCUGAGAAUUUCCUUUAAGGAUGUGGAAACGUCCUCCGUCCCCACCCCUUCCCCAUUUCCCAGAGAAUCGUUGUCUGCCUUCCUGACGAACGGAAUUGUAUAAUUAGUAGUGCCCUUAGAUUUGGAACCAGUACUCCGGAUCCCUGGCCUCUCCUCGCCCCCUGCCUCUACUCACAAUUAUGUUAUCGGUCAAGAAAAGCAAAAUCAGACUGUGGCUCCCGGCUGGGUUUCUGGAGCUUUGUAGGGUUUUACUAGCACUUUCCGUGCCCCUGCGGGCGCGCGAACUAUUCACGUGCUCGAAACGCCCGGAUUACCUUCCCUGAGGUCACUCACCAGGGUGCCCCCGGCACCCCCAGUUCGGGGACCGCGGCCCGCCCUCGCCAGGGGAUUCAAAUAGGUGUGGGCAGCGGCGCGAAGAGCAGCUGCCGGUUUCCUGGUGGGCCGCGCUGGAACCUCGGGGCGAGCUGCCACCUUCAGCCUGUGCGCUUCCCUCUCCACGGAAGGGACCGGAGUUGAAAUCACAACCAACCCUGGGAGAGCGGGGCCGGGAGGCGGGGGAAUCCCAGGCGAGUGGGAGCCGAAGCUCUGGGCUUCCUCCCCGGCCGGGCGACACCCGGGGGACACCGGGGCUCUCUCGGGCCGUUACCCUGCCUAUGUGGACUGGUGUGCACCCUCGGGGGAGGUUCCUAGGGUGCCACGGUGCCCGAGCGCGACGAGUGACUGCUGGGGAGGGGGGCCGGGUCCCGGAGCGCCUCCUCCGGGUGGUCUCCCCCCCAGCGGGGACCGCGCGCAGCACCUCGCGGGCGCCCCAGCCCCCGCACCCUGCGGAGCAGAGCCGAGCGCCCAGGACGCCGCGGGCCCCAGCGGUCCUCCCCACCCCCUGGCCGCGCCGCCGCCCUGCCCGGGGCGGAGUAAACAAGAGACGCGCAAGAUUUGACCUGGCGCGACCCGGCUUUCUGGCCGGGGUUCCCCCUGAGCAGGUGACUCCGUGGGAGGGGUGGAAAUGAGUCUCUGGAAUUCCGGGCCAAAGACAAUAACUGUGGUUCUGCUUUUAAAGCAGGUAUUUCACCAGCAACUGCGGAAUGUUUUGUGUCUCCAGUUUCAAAUUUCGCGGAAAGGGACCAAAUGUGAGGACAUAUAAAAUAUCCCCUUCUCUUUUCAUUAAAAAUGAGUGCAUUACAAAGGAAGGGCAGCCCCUUAAUGCCUGCGAGAAUAGCGCUGCUGGUUUCGUUUUUGUUUUGUUUUGUUUUGUUUUUCAUUCUGACCCACAAUCAGUGUAUUUUUGAGGUCCCUAUGCAAUGGCGACGGUGCCGUGAAGGGCAACUCAGCAAAAUAAAGCGGUGAUACAUUUUUUAACCGAUUUUUUUCUCAGAGGAGAAAAAUCUGAACAAUUUGGCCUAAGUUUCACUUUGUCCUUCUCUUAGGUUGAUCUCAUUUAAAUUCAGGGCCUACUUCCACUUAAGCAACUUCUUCUUUCAUUGUAUAGGUUCUUUAAUAUCCAACCUUUUUAAACUUAACUUGAAGCCUUUAAUUUAAAAAACUGUCCCAAUCAUCAUUUUCUUUUCAAUGUAUGCAGUUGCAUUUUAAACAUCCAUUUAACACACAAAAUGUGAUUUUUGAAAUUUUUUUCACUUUCAAACCCACCUGCUACAUACUCCCAGAGAGCGUUUUAUUUAAUUGCUUAAUAGAGAAGAUUAAGCAGUUUCUUUAAGAAUCCAAUUUCCCUUCAACAAGCACAACAGCAGCUGCCCAAGCUCCCAGAAACUAAGCAAAGGCAAGUAGCAGGCAGCGUUUUGCUUCACUAGAAUGAAUGUUAGUUGAAACCUUAAAUACCUCUUUAAAAGACUAGAUUAAAGAGAAUAAUGGGAAUAUUAAGAUACUCCGGUAGUUAGUUAAAAUAUUUUUUAAGGAAAACCAGGCAGAUAUACAUCUAUUUUGAUGAUUUGAUCCCACCUUCAAAGAGGAUCCCUGAAAAGAGUUUUAGUCACAAUUUGACAAAUUUUAAAUAAUUACUUUGUUUCAGAGUCAUGAGGAUGGAAAGAAGAUAGCCUGCGUUGAGUUGAAGUAAAGUAAAAAUAUUAUGAAUAUGUGUAACUAGGUGACAUCCUCUCUGCUGGGAAGAAUCCUUUUUUUUUUUUUUUUUUUUUUUCUGGUGACAGGUUCUUGCUCCAUCACCCAGGCUGGAGUGCAGUGGCAUGAUCUUGGCUCACUGCAGCCUCUCCCUUUCAGGCUCAAGCAAUCCUCCCACCUCAGCCUCCCGAGUGGAGGGGGAGCCACUGCAGAUCUGGAGCAAAUCAGCACCAGCCACUCCAGAGCCUGACCUACAUAGGACUCAGAAAGCAUUGUCUAUUGUGAUUGAUUAUUCCUGUGUUCAGUCCCAAUGGCCUAUUGAUUGGGGGUUUCUCUCCAAAAGGCUGCAUGGCUUUUCUUCUCUAAGUGAAUCUCCUUUAUAACCCAUAUUUUAUGUCUAUAUACCAAACAUGCUAUCCAUAUUUAGUCAAUGUCCAGUUGCUUGCAUGUAAGGGCAAUAGAGUAAUCAGAAAACUCUUCCCAGAAAGCCCCCGAAGACAAAACUAGUACUGGUAGAAAACUGGGCAUGCAGCUCUAAGAAACUCUAUGGGAAGUGAGGCUGGGUGGGGCACAGCUGCCCCAGCCUGGCACCCAUAUGGAGCAUCAGCAAGGAAGUAGGAACUUUCUUUUCAUCAUGCAUCCUUCUUAUCACUUCUCAGUUUCAAAGGGAAAGAAAAUUUGGUAAUCUGCAUUUUGAGACAUUAAGAAAAUAAAAUAAUUAAUGGCUUCAUGGUUAUAUGGCAUUUUUCAGAGUAUUGUCAGAAAAUCAUUUCGAACUGAAAUUUUCAUUCAAAAAUAUUUAUUGAAUGCCGGCUAUGUGCUGAAGAUUCUUAAGAUACAUCAGUGAACAAAUCAAAGUUCCCUGCUUUCUUGGAGCUUGCAUUCCAGCGGGAGGAGAGGAUUUGGAGGAAGAAUGGGAUAGACAAUAAAUCACAAGACCUCCUGCCACAGAGCAUGGGACCUGAUAUAUCCAGGCAGGAGAACUGGGUACCAGGAGACACUGUACAUGAAGUUUCCAGAACCAGCCAUGUCCAUCUUACUAAUCAAGACUCUCUCUGUUAAAUCUGCAACUCAAAUGACUUUAAGGAAAAAUGGAUUUCAUUGAUUCACAUAACCAUCACUCAAGGACUAACUUUCAACAUAGUGAGAUCCUGAGGCUCAAAUAUUAUUACCCGGGUUCCAUGAACUGCUUCCUCUGACAUGAGAUCUAACAAGGCUAAAGACUAAAAUGCAGCUGUUUACAGCGUAAGUAGGAGGCCGUCCCGUGCAGUGCAAAAUCAACAGAGAGGAGACAGUCCUAUGCCUUCGAGAGACAGUCUGCUGAUACUGUCAUGAUGUCUAGUGACAGGCCAGAGAUCAAAACCCAACACCCUCAUUUACCUGACAGUGAUUUGGCCAAUCCCUUAACAUCUCUAAGAGCUUCAUUUUUCUACAAAAUUGAGACAAUAGUAUUUGUUUCAUAGUGUUACUGUCAGGGUUAAAUGUUAUACAUUAAGCAUUUAAUAUAUGCUGCUUGUUUAUCUAAAUAUUCAUGGUCAGGCACUAACUUCUUAUGUGACUCUGAGCAAUGCAUUCAUCUCUGUACCUGUUUCCUCAUCCAUAAAUUGGGAGUUGAACAAGGUGAGCCCUAAGUUUCGUUCCAACUUCAAUAUUCUAUAAUUCUUGCAACUUAUAUGGCCUCAGUUUUCUUAUCUUUAUAAUGGGCAUAAGAGUACCUACCUCACAGAAUUUUUGAGAGGAUAAAAUGAAUUAAGACAGGUAGAAAAUUCUUAGAACAGUGCCUGCCACAUUGGAAGUGCUUAAUAUGUAUUAGCUGUGAUGAUGCUGCUAAUGAUGAAGAUGAUAAUGACCCUAUUUGCAGAUAGUAUGGCAGCCAUAAAACAUUCAGUAUCAGAUUGAUUACAUUCUCUUAUUUUCUGAGUCAAUGCCAGAGCUACCAAGAUUUUAUUCUUUAAAGGUUCUUCAAGACUAAAUUCUUUUUACAUGAUAUGAUUAUUACACAUUGUAUGUCCGUAUCAGACCAGCCUGGCCAACAAGGUGAAACCCCAUCUCUAAAAAUACAAAAAUUAGCAGGGCAUGGUGGCACGCACCUGUAGUCCCAGCUACUCGGGAGGCUGAGGCAGGAGAAUCACUUGAACCCGGGAGGCAGAGAUUGCAGUGAGCUGAGAUCGUGCCACUGCACUCCAGCCUGGCAGAGUGAGACUCCAUCUUAAAAAAUAAAUAAAUAAAUAAAUAAAUAAAUCUCAUGUACUCCAUAGAUAUGGGGUACCUACUAUGUACUCACAAAAAUUAAUUUUUUUUUAGAAAAGCCUAAGCUCAUUUGCUUCUUAGUAAGAAUUAUGUUAAGAUUUCCCAGUGUAGAUACCCUAGGCUGCUAAUUUUUUUUCUUUUGUUAUCAGUAUCUUAAGAAAUUAAUUGGCCCGGGAGUGGUGGCUCAUGCCUGUAAUCCCUGCAGUUUGGAAGGCCAAGAUGGGAGGAUUGUUUGAGGCCAAGAGUUCAAAACCAGCCUGGGCAACAUAGUGAGAUACUAUCUGUAUAUAAAAUAAAAAAAUUAGUGAGGCAUGGUGUCAUAAGCCUGUGGUCCCAGCUACUUGGGAGGCUGAGGUGAGAGGAUUGCUUGAGCCCAGGAGGUCAAGGCUGCAGUGAGCUGUGAUGGUGACACUGCACUCCAGCCUGGGCUAUAGAGCAAGACCCUGUCACCCUCCUCAAAAAAAAAAAAAAAAAGCAAUUAAUUGAUUUAUUUAUGGCCAUUCUCUCUUUUUGUGAGCUGGAUAUGUGUUCACUUUCAUUCUAAAAACGUACAGCCCCCAAAGCCCACACAUGUUGUCAAAGCUCACUACAUUUACCUAGAGAGUUUCCUGUAGUCUCCUCUUUCAAGUAUUUUAAAUAAUGCGUAAUUUCUUCAUGUAACUGAAACAUGUUAAUGUUGAGUUGGCACAGGAAGAAAAGUUUUGAUUUACUCAGAACUGGGAUUUGUGUGGGUCAUUUCCUAGUCCUCCUAAGUAUUUAACAAAUGUAAAAUGUAACACACAAUUAAAUAAGCUACCCAAGCCAAAUGAACUGGUGAGUGCAUUAUAAAUAGCAACCAAAAUUAUUCUUCAGUUGUUAACUGGUAUGUCCUGAUUUAAUAAUGAAUUACAUCAUUUGACAAAUGAGAUAAGACUUCCACCUUUAGCUUUCUGAUCCAAACUUCUAAUAGUUGAAAUGUAUUAUUACCAUCUGGUGUCUGGCCUCUGAAAUGCCCUGGCGAUAUCUGCCUCAUUUCAAGUAGUUGGGGCUUGCAUAUGCCAGCAAAGCACUCUCCGAAGUGUCUUGAUUGGCAGGCCCAGAGAGAAGGCUAAGAACCGAAUGAACCAUGGAGAUAUAGCUCCAGCUCUGUAGAAGUUUCCUCUGGUUCAAGGCAGACUCAUUUUCUUAGUUUGUGCAGCAAAAAAAUUGUCAUGAUCGAAGUUGUUUUUAUUUUGGAUCUCAAUCCUGAAGGAUGCAAUUCCUAUACUUACCAAGAAUGUUUCCAUCUGUUUUAAAUUAUUUCACUCCUUUUACAAACUGGCAAUAAUUUUAACACCUUUUAUUUUCAGUGAAAAUAAUUCGAGAAUGAAGCUGAGAAUGAUACAUAAGCCUAGAGUUUUAACUCAGUGAAGUAAUAUGAUUCUGACAGUUCUUUAUUUUUUCCACAUUGUGUUAGAUUCCUAGUAAAAAGGGAAGAUGAAUCUUAUUGCUUUCAAAAACCUGACAAUAUGGUAUGUAGGACAGAAUGAACAUACAUAGAACAAUAUCCAAUAACACAGAUGAAGGUGUCAAAGCCAUUGCCAGACAGAGUGGUGCAGAUUGUGAGAUCAGUUUUCUUGGUAAGUGUUAUGGACUGAAUGUUGGUAUUCUCUAACAUUCAUAGAUUAUAAUCUAAUCCCCAAUGUGAUGGUAGCACUAUCUGGGGGUGAGACCUUUGGGAAGUAAAGGUCUUUUUCUCUCCACACCUGACCAAAAGUAGGAGCUCAACAAAUGUAUGUGCACUGAAAUGGAAUGGGGGCAAACAGCCUGGUGGUAUAGUACAAAGCAAAAUUUGGUUAUGGUAGGAGCAGUACAGAUACAUCUGGAUCACAAUCUAAAUUCUCUCCAGGGACCAAAUACAUAGAUUUACCCCUUGGGUUAUUGGUCUGGUAGACUCUUAAUUUUUAAUAGGGUUUAUAUAAUCUAGACUUCUUAUAACCUCUGCCCCACUGGAUAUAGGUAUUACUCAGUUGAAGUUAAAAAUUGAAUAUAGGAUUAUAUGCAAUGCUUUAUCUAUAACUUUCUUGUAAGGAUAAACUCAGUACAUCUCUGGUUUUCUAAUAUUUUGGAGGAAAUGUUACAAAUAGGUAAGGAAAGUUUGAGCCUCAUUUACGCAUGAGGGUGGACCCCUCCUGAAUGAGAUUAAUGUCCUUAUAAGAAAAGGCCAGAGAGCUAGCUCACUCUCUUUCAGCAUGUGAGGACACAAGAAGCCCAGAGUCUGCAACCUGAAAGAGGGCCCUCACUAGAACCCAAUCAUGCUGACGCUGUGAUCUUGGACUUUCAGGCUCCAGAACUGUGAGAAAUAAAUUUCUGUUGUUUAUAAGCCAUCCAUUUCAUGACAAUUUGUUAUAGUGGCCUGAACAAAGACAAUAGGUAUAAAAGAGAAUUGAUAAAGAUGAAAUUUAGGAAUACAAUUAGAAGUGAAAUGCAAAUAACAAGAGGGUGACCCCGGAGUAGAAAAGUGUCUGUGUCUGGUAGAUUUGAAUAGUUUACAAAUGCCAAGCCUGUGCAAAAUAGGAGUUACCAAUAUUAAUGGCUGCAUCAUUACAAGGUGUAUCCAAAAGACACUUAAGAUUAAGUCUGUGUUUGUCAGUGGGGAGGUGAGAGUAGGAAAUGUUAAAUAACCUGCCCUUUGUCACUCAGCCAACAAGUAAGAGAGCAGGGAAUCAAGUUCAGAUCUAAGUCCUCUAAAGUUAUUCCCCAAACUCCUCACAGCUUCACUUAAUAACCAUUUCCUGCUUUGGUUGACUUUACAAAGAUGACCAUACAUUUGAGAGCAAAAGGGGAAGCUAUGAAUCAUUACAUCUGGACAAAUGGCAUGAAUCAAGAUCAUCCACUGCCAACUAGAGUGUAUGUUCAUCUUCUGUCUAUAUAUCUUCAUUCCCAGACAUCUACCAGACAUCCAGUGACUUAUCUGAGAAGUACACUUGGAGGUCAGUUUCUUGGAGUAAAUUGAUCAAAGUGUUAAAAUUCUGGAAAGUUAUUGUAUUUUAAAAUAGUUCACACAAAAAAAUAGUACAAUGAAAUGAAUCACUAUUAGUGGAAUUUCAGGCCCUCAGGUACCUGAUAAUAAGAACUCUUUCAAAACAACAUAACUUUCCUGGUACCUGUCAAAUCACAAUUUCUAUAUGAGAUAUGGCCAGCUGGGUAUUCAAGGAUAAUUGGUCAGCUACUGUGAUGAUUAAUAUGGAGUGUCAACUUGUUUGCAUUGAAGGAUGCAAAGUAUUGUUCCUGGGUUUGUCUGUGAGGGUUGUAUUAGUCUGUUUUCAUGACACUGAUAAAGACAUAUCUGAGACUGGGCAAUUUACAAAAGAAAGAGGUUUAUUGGACUUUCAGUUCCACAUGGCUGGGGAGGCCUCACAAUCAUGGUGGAAGGUGAAAAGCACAUCUCACAUGGCGGCAGACAAAAGCAGAGAGCUUGUGCAGGGAAACUCUCAUUUUGAAAACCAUCAUAUCUCAUGACACUUAUUCACUAUCAUGAGAACAUCAUGGGAAAGACCUGCUCCCAUGAUUCAAUUACCUCCCACUGGGUCACUCCUACAACACGUGGGAAUUCAAGAUAACAUUUGGGUGAGGAUACAGCCAAAUCAUAUCAAGGGUGCUGCCAAAGGAGAUUAACAUUUGAGUCAGUAGACUGGAAGAGGCAGACCCACCCUCAAUCUGAGUGGUUACCAUCUAAGCAUCUGCCAAUGCAGCUAGAAUAAAGCAAGCAGAAGAAAGUGGAAUGAGAAGACUUGCUGAGUCUUCUGGUCAUCAUCUUUUCCCCAUGCUGGAUGCUUCUUGCCCUUGAACAUCAGACUCCAAGUUCUUCAGCUUUCAGACUCUUGGACUUAGAGCAGUGGUUUGCUAGGGGCCCUCAGGCCUUCAGCCACAGACUGAAGCCUGCACUGUCGACUUCCCUACUUUUGAGGUUUUGGUACUUGGAUUGGCUUCCUUGCUCCUCAGCUUACAGCUGGCCUAUUAUGGGACUUCACCCUGUGAUCGUGAGUCAAUUAUCCUAAUAAACUCCCCUUCAUAUAUACAUAUAUAUUAUUAGUUCUUACCUCUAGCGAACCCUGACUAAUACAGAUUUCUAGAUGUACAGAUGGAUUGAGAGGCAAACACUCUAAAUUAACAAGGCAGAAAUGAAAGAGCUGUUCUGCCCAAGAUCUUCAGCACUGCUCAGACCUCUAUAAGAAUUUCUUAUCCAGUUCAAAACUUAUCAACUUAAGAAAAAUAUAGAAAAUUUGUAAAGCAUUCAGAAGAAACUAAAGACUAAAGCAAAAUGAUAUGUUCAAAUACUUAACACUGCCAAAAUGUAAUGCAUUUCAAUAAAGUGAUAUAUGUCCUUAACUCACACAAAUUAAUAAAUGUCUAAUAGACAUACAUAUGGGAAGUGAAUAUCAAAUGCCUGUGUACUAUUUGUAUAAAAUCUAAGUUAAAACUCAUUUCCAUCCCAAAGAUGUGUGAUAUGUAAAAUAAUAUUCUACGUAUUUUGUUUAAUUUUGGGGGGUCAUUUAAGAUUUUUUUAUUUGCAGAAAAAAGAUGCUACAAACAAAAUUAAUGGGAAAAAACAAAAAUUAGUACCAAAAGAGGAAACGAGGACAAGGAAAAACACGAGCACAUAGAAAAAUGUAAAAAUACUCAAGCCAGGCUCAGAGAACCAGCAUCCCUGACAGCAAGUGUUGUUAAACAUCCACGUGGGUUGCUAAGGAAGGUUAGGGAAUCUCCCUUUCCCAGAAGUCUUUAAAAAUAGGAUAACAUCUGUUUGGAUGGGAUAAUGGUGGUACUGCUUGACUUGGCAGCUUCUUAAGCAAACCUAUGGUUUGGUAAUUCUACCAUUUCUAUUUCUGAUUUGAAAAGUAACAAAUAACUUCAGUUCACCUAGAAAAUUGGGCCUUAUAAUGACUUGUAAUAUUGUCUUAUAAAACUAUUUUCAUUGUCAUUAAUAGUGCAAAGGUAGAUAAUUGAGGUUUUCAGAGUAUACUUGAAUUUGCAGCCAAGGCUCAAACUUUCCUUAUCUAUUUGUAACAUUUCCUCCAAAAUAUUAGAAAACCAGAGAUGUACUGAGUUUAUCCUUACAAGAAAGUUAUAGAUAAAGCAUUGCACAUAAUCCUAUAUUCAAUUUUUAACUUCAACUGAGUAAUGCCUGUAUUCAGUGGGGCAGAGCUUAUAAGAAGUCUAGAUUAUAUAAACCCUAUUAAAAAUUGGAGUCUGCCAGACCAAUAACCCAAGGGGUAAAACAUAUAUAUUUGGUCCCUGGAGAGAAUUUAGACUGUGAUCCAGAUGUAUCUGUACUCCUCUUACCAUAACCAAAUUUUGCUUUCUACUAUACUACCAGACUGUUUGCCCCCAUUCCUUUUCACUGCACAUAUAUUUGUUGAGCUCCUACUUUUGGUCAGGUGUGGAGAGAAAAAGCCCACAGUCCCUGCCCUUGAGGAACACAUAAUCCAAAAAAAAAUGCAUGGGUGGCUCCAGGUGUUGUAGGGUCUUAGGCAAGUAUAAUUUUGGACAUGCAUUUUAAGAAAAAGAAUACAAAAUUACAAAUGCAGAAUUACUAAUAAAAGUGAAUAUUUAUUGUAUAGAGAAAAUUAAUCACAACAAAUUACAAGUUUUAGCAUUCUCACAAAUGCCAGAAAUACCACAAAAUCUCAGAAAAAAACCUAUAUUUUGUAUUAAUUAGCUGACUGAUCACAUGUAUAAUUCUACGUGUUCUACUUUUGGUUGCAUAUUGUUGACCACAUGAGAAAAAUUUCUUUAUUUACUUAUUCAGAUGGAGUUUCGCUCUG